ACCUGUUCUACACCAUGAUUGAUAAAAAUAUUAAAUUAGUUCUGAUAUAAAAUAUAUAUAUAAAUAUAUAUAUAUAUAUUAGGGCUGUCAACGUUAACGCGUUAACAUAUGCGAUUAAUCAAAAAAAUUUAAUGCGAUAAUAUUUUUUUAACGAGAAUUAAUCAUUUAAUAAGGUUUGAACCCAACUUCUUGCCGUCAUCGCAGUGCGGAGACACGUGCCCUACGCCGUAGCCUUUGGUGACGUACAGUGAACGUAGCUACGCUGCUUAACAUGAUGGCAGAAGACACAACACCUGGUCUGCUAAAUGGCAAGUUUCUUUAUAAAAAGCUUCCAGAUGGAAGUUUGGAUAAAACCAAAGUUGUGUGCACUUAUUGUAGCGACGAACUGUCUUAUCACCGAAGCACGACAAGUUUGAAGUACCAUCUUCGGGCCAAACAUAUGUAUUUUGCAGAUGUUAGCAAAGUUGCUGGUGAUGAGACAGCGUCAACAAGCCGUGCUCGUCAAAGGACACUGGAUGAGUGCAGCCGGGGCAAACCUGUAAACAAAACAACAACAGCAAAGCUAACUUAUUCCAUUACUAAAUGGAUCGCCACAGACUGCAGACCCAUCAGCAUAGUUCAGGACCGUGGGCUUCAAGACAUCAUUCAGAUUGCCACAGGCGACCCAUCAUACCAGUUACCUUCGAGGGGAACUAUUGUUUCGAGAGUAGAUGAACUGUACGACACUGAAAAAGCUAAAAAGGCGAGUCAGUUGGCAGAAGGCACUUUCAUUGCACUUACUGGAGACCACUGGACAUCAGUAAGUAACCAAAACUACCUCGGUGUAACAGCACACCUAAUCGAUGACAACUGGCAUCUGCACUCAUUCACUUUAGGUGUGUUAAAAACCGAAGAAAGGCAUUUUGCCGAAGCAUGCGCAAACCAGUUUCUCAACGUUGCAAAUGAGUGGAAGAUAACGGACAAAGUCACUACAAUAGGAACGGACAGUGCUCCCAAUAUGAUUGCUGCUGCAAGGAGUUUACCAUUCGAGCAUAUUCCUUGUGUGCCGCACGUUAUACAAAGAGUAAUCACCGUGGCUAUUCAGGACAGCGGAUUUGACAGCAUUUUAGCAAAGUGCCGUAAAAUAGUUGGACACUUCAAGCACAGUCCCGCAAACACUGCAGAGCUAAAAGCUCUGCAAGUCUCGCAUGGACUAACAGAGGAGUCUCUCGUGCAGGAUGUAACGACGCGCUGGAAUUCGACUCUUGAAAUGAUAAGGCGGCUUCAAUGCAAUAAAGAUCCAAUGAACGCAGCGCUGGCACAGUAGAAGCAUAAGUUAGCCAUGCUAACCUCAGCUGAUUUUGACAGACUGGCAAAGCUGGAAGCAGUGCUGAAACCAUGCAAGUACAUCACUGAGCUCCUAGGUGGUGAAAAGUAUGUAUCCUGCUCUGUGGUGCUACCUGCGCUGUGCCAUCUCCUGCGUACAAUGGAAGUCUCUGAUGUUGACCCUGCCUACAUAGUGCGCUUCAAGGGUGCAUUCACAAAGGACCUCAACAGGCGAAGGGAGACCUCAAACCUAUUGUGGUUAAAGGUAGCAACAGCUCUAGAUCCCAGGUUCAAGGAGCUGAGGUGCUUGCCCAAAGCAGAGAGGGGAGAGGUGUGGCAAAAGCUGAAUAUGAUGCUGAAGCAUGGAGAACCUGCUCCACAGACCUUUGGAGAAGAAGUAGAACCAGAGCCACCAAAGAAGAAGAUGGCCCUCCUAGUGAUGGGAUCAGAGUCGGAGUCUGAUGAUGAGGCACUGUUCACAGAUACAUGUCUAGAGAGGUACAAGGCAGAGCCCUGUAUCAGCAUAGACACAUGUCCACUGCAGUGGUGGUCAGCACAUUCAGGUUCACAUGGUAAGCUGGCCCAUAUUGCAAAACGGUAUUUGGCUACACCUGCCUCAACAGUCCCGUGUGAGAGACUGUUCUCUUUGGCAGGCCACAUUGUGCAGAAGAAGAGGUCAGCUCUGUCAUCUGAAAAUGUUAAUAAGCUAGUCUCUCUUAGCAACUGGCUGAAACAACAGACUUUAUGAUUGGUUGGCAGGAGGAAUGUUGCAUAGAUGCACAAUGUAGAGCCAAUAAUAUAAUUGUUGACUGUUGAGAUAAUUAUACUGGAUGAUCUGUUUCCUUAAGCUAGUUUGUUAUGCAUUUCAUUUUCUUUAUUAUUAGAUCAAGAAUGUAGAUACUGUUCAUUUGGUCUCUUUGCAAACAUUUAAUUUCUAAAAUAGGAUUAUAAUAGAAAUGUAAAUUGCUGAGAUAAUUAAACUGGAGAAUCUGUCUCCUUAAACUAGUUUGUCAUGCAUUUCUUUAUUUCAACAAAUUUACAGGUAAAUCCUGGUAUUUUAAAUUUGCGAUUAAUCAUGAUUAAUCACAGUCCAUGACUGUGAUUAACUCGAUAAAAUUUUUUAAUCGAUUGACAGCUAUAAUAUAUAUAUUAUUCUUAAACUAGCACAGAGAAAGUGUGGGUAAGUGAACUGACCCGGGAGACUUCUCUGUGUUUGUCUGUUUUUUCUCUCGGGAGAAUUGUAGAGUUAGCUCACCAUUCCUGACCUUUAUGUAAGUAAUCGUCUUGGUUACGGAUGUAACCUCAGUUCCCUGAUGGAGGGAACGAGACGUUGUGUCGAGACAACAGAUGGGGUUCGUCCCUGAGAACCAAUCGCUUCCGACUUCUUAGAA